AUUGAACGCUGGCGGCAGGCCUAACACAUGCAAGUCGCACGAGUGGCGGACGGGUGAGUAAUUUCUUGGAAACUGCCCGAUGGAGGGGGAUAACUACUGGAAACGGUAGCUAAUACCGCAUACCAUCGGAUGUGCCCAGAUGGGAUUAGCUAGUAGGGGGGGUAAUGGCUCACCUAGGCGACGAUCCCUAGCUGGUCUGAGAGGAUGACAAGCAAAAAUGGAACUGAGAAACGGUCCAAACGACUACGUGAGGCAGCAGGGGGGAAUAUGGCACAAUGGGCGAAAGCAUGAUGCAGCCAUGCCGCGUGUAUGAAGAAGGCCUUCGGGUUGUAAAGUACGUUCAGCGAGGAGGCGUUACCCGCAGAAGAAGCACCGGCUAACUCCGUGCCAGCAGCCGCGGUAAUUC
rnacentral:rRNA from 1 species